rnacentral:lncRNA from 1 species
CUUCUUCUCUGCUAUUUCCUUAUGUUCAAUCAUACAGAACUAACGCUAAGAUCAUGUUUUUUUUCUGAUGGGCUAAAGUUUUUGUAAUCCAGUACAAGCAAAUCCACUGUUUAUGAAUUCUACGAUAUAAAAUUAUACAAAACUUCUAAAAAUAUUUUACCUCAUAAAUAGGAUAUCUCUUCGUAAUAUUUUUGAAGCAAUGAUAUUUUAGUAUCAGUCCCAUAAUUCUUUCAAAUAUAAUAAGAACAUAUGAAUUAUAAUAGAAUUAUAAUUUAAAUACACUAAAAAUAUGAUAGCCAAAACUACACUCUCAUUUCUGUAUCAAAAAGAUAAAAUAAAAUAACAUCUCAUUUGAAAUUUAAAUAACACAAUAUGAAAGUCAUUGAGAUGUACAUAUAAACUUUUAUUCUGAAUUAUGAUCAGAUGAUAAAAAUGACGAAUUAAUUUUUUUUUUAAAAAGAAAAUUUUAAAUAUUUCAUCUCUCUUUCAUAACAUUAAUUUAGAGCGCUGAUUUUAUCUCAUCUUUUUACUAAUUAGAGCUUUGACUGCCGGUUUGUUCUUGCGAAAUUAACUAUUAUUCCCAAUUGCAGAGUCCUCAGCUCCAGAAUAAGCAAUGCAUGCAGCUAAGCACAUCUCCUUGCAAUUGUCAAAGGAGGCAGUGUCUGAAUUUGCACUGAAUUUUGAGCAUCUCCCAUAGCAAUCUCCAUAGCAAGAGCUCUCCGCCACUGACUCGGUGCUAGCCACUUGCCAGGGCCAACCCCAGGCUUCUCCAACCUUAAAACAUACAAACAUGACAAGCAUUGCAAUGAGGACCGUUUUGGUGAUUUUGCUUCUUGCCAUAUGUUUUUAUGUUUUAUUUGGUUCAAUUGAAUGGGGUUGGAAGAGGAGGUAUUAUUUUGUUGCACAGGGUAAUGUCA